rnacentral:misc_RNA from 1 species
ACACAGAGCGGUGUUGGAAAGAAAUGUUUAUCUGUCGAUUCAAUGAUGACUGAGGUCGGAAGGUAGUGUUUCCUGACACAGUCGACAAUGGCUGUCAUCAGGAUAGUCUCAAGAAGUGCAAUAACUCUUUCAUCUUUUAUUCAUUCACUCACUAUAUAGAUAAUGACACCUUGACCUUACUCUGGGAAAACAGGAGGUCGUUUAAUCAUUAGCUGUCAGUUGAUUGAUUCCAAAGAUCAAACAAAGUCAUUGGGUGUAUUUUCAUUCUGCGAAGACAUGGCGGAUACUGUUCAAUCACCAGCUCAUUUCACCAUUGAUGAUACUCCAUCAAGGACACCGAAUCCUCUGAAGAAACCAUCAUGCUUAAAACGGGCUAGUAAUGGUAUCAUUUGGGCACUGGAAUCUGCAUUUUACAGGGUUGGUCUGUUUGUUGGUGAACAUCCUUGGAUAACGAUUGUCUUCUGCCUUACAACAUGCGGGUUGUGUGGUCUCGGGCUGAAGACGUUCAAACAAACAGAGGAACAAGUUGCAUUGUGGGUACCUCAGAGCUCGCGUAUUGUCAAUGAGAAGAAAUGGGUGGACAAACACUUCCCGUCUGAAACUCGCUAUGUGACAAUGAUAGUCACAGGAAAAGAUGUACUCACACAGCCAUUCCUUAAUGCUUUGCUGGAUUUCUAUAGCAAGUGUAACAACAUCAGUGUUGAAGGGAAGCGGUACCAAGAUGUCUGCUACAGUGUUCGGACAGCAACUGGGUACCACUGCCGUGUGACAAGCUUAUUGGAGCUUUGGUCUUACAAUGAAACUGUCAUCCGUUCUCUGACCCGCGGCAAGAUCCUACAGACCGUCAAUAGCAUCAACAAGAGCCCUGUGUAUGGCACAGAUUUCGAUGUGUCCAACAUGCUUGGAGGGACCGUACAUAGAGGACAGGGAGGGGACAUUGAGGACGCCACCGCUACUCAGAUCACCUGGGUCCUCAGGAAGGAUGAUGAGAUUCUAGAGGCAGUUAAGGCAUGGGAGCUGGAGGUGAUCAAGCUGGCUCGCCAGGGCAUCGUGCAGACCCUGGAGGUGUAUAUCUACGCUUCUCGCAGUUUUGAUGAUGAAGGUUACGGCGCCAUCAACAAGGACACACAGCUUCUGUCUGCUGGAUUCAGCAUUGUCUUCGUGUUCGUCAUGCUGUCUCUCGGGAGAUUCAACAUGCUGGAGCAAAGGAUAUACCUCUCUCUCAUUGGCUUGUUCAGUGUUGGUUUAGCAAUAAUAUUUGCCUAUGGACUAGCUACAGUCUUUGAUGUUAUAUAUGGCCCUAUACAGUCUAUCAUGCCCUUCCUUCUGCUUGGUAUAGGUGUGGAUGACAUGUUCGUCAUCGUGGAGUCUUGGAAGAAUCUCACGCCGGAGGAGGAGUUACUUCCCUUGCCACAGAGAGUCGCGGUGAUGAUGAAACACGCUGGCGUGUCAGUCACCGUCACAUCAAUCACAGACAUUGUGGCGUUUGGCAUCGGUGCAUCAACUGUCAUCCCAGCUCUCAGUGCCUUCUGUAUCUAUGCAGCGUUGGGCAUCUUGGCUCUGUACGUCCUGCAGUCAACGUUUUUUGUUGCGUGUUUAUCACUGGACCAGAAGCGCCGAGAAUCACAUCGGAAUGCUUGCGUCUGCUGCUACAAACACAAGAACUACACACCCAACAACUGCAGCCAGAGAUCCUUCAUGCCCAAAUUCAUGGAGAGGUACUACGGCAGAGCGCUGAUGAAACUACCUGUGAAAAUCCUAGUGAUUGUGACGACUCUCGGGCUGCUUGGUGUGUUCAUGUGGAGGUUCAUCCUCCUGAGACAAGACUUUGACCUCGUCAACUACAUUCCCAGUGAUUCCUACGCUUAUGCUUUUGUCAAGGCCAAAGAAAGAUAUUUCCCUGAUGAAGGAAUAGACACAGCUGUAUACUUUGGAGGAUUCGACUACUACGAACGCUCUCAGUCUCUUGAUGCUGCAUACAAGUUUGUGAGCGAGAGCCAGUACACCCAGAAUGGAACCGUCACCAGCUGGUUCCAGGUCUUCCAAGACUGGAGGAGGAGGAAUGAUACUGACGGUACUACAACUAGUAUGGUCCCGACGUCUGAGGCGGAGUUCUACAACUUGAUGUACACAUUCCUCACAGGCCCUGGAAUCCAGCUGGCCAGAUAUGUCAAGAUGAACUCCACACUGCCACCAAUAAGUAUAGAGGCAUCCUACAUGACACUGCGGCACACCUUACAGCCAGACUCAGCAGAUGAAAUAGCAGCGAUGGAAGAUUUACGACGCAUAAUUGACAACAUCGACUUCCCACAAUACUCCGGUGAAGAUCUGCCCAAAUACCAGGCGUUUGCCUACUCCCAGAGUUACCUGACAUACGAGACCAACAAGGUGCUGUUGUCGGAGCUGUACCGGAACUUGGGUCUAGCUGGUGGCUGUGUGCUGUUGGUGACGCUGCUGUUGAUCGCAAACAUCUGGACAUCAGUGCUUGUCUUCACCUGUGUUGUUUUCACUCUGAUUGAUGUUGCUGGAGCACUGGAGUUGUGGGGCGUGACUAUCGACACCGCCAGCAGCGUGCUCCUCAUCCUCUCCGUGGGCAUCGCCGUCGACUACUCCGCACAUAUAGGUCACACCUUCAUGACAGUGCAUGGAGACCGCAACUAUCGGUCAAUCCUGACACUGAAGACUAUCGGCCCCGCGGUGUUCAAUGGUGGCUUCAGUACCUUCCUGGCCUUCGUCCUCCUGGCAAACAGCUCUAGUUAUGGAUUUGCCCUCUUCUUCCGGGUGUUCAUGACGGUUGUGAUAUUUGGGCUGUUCCAUGGAUUGGCCUACCUCCCUGUUAUCCUCAGCUGGGUCGGCCCACAGCCUUACGAGUCCAGCUAUAAAACAGAAGAAUCGACCAAUCACAUCACAGUAGUGAAGGAAGAGAACUCCACGUCUAAUGGUCCCAACGGUCAUGUCCAGCCGCUGCUAGAGCCGGUGUAAGUUGUUUGUUUCAUGUCACCACCAACCCCCCUCCUGCCUUAGCUUUGCAGAAAUCGGAAAGUGAAAGUGAUAGCUGAUUGACCUUCAAAUUCGCUCAGAACACUUAUAUCCAUUUGCAUUUGACCUUGAAAUCACGAUACAAAGGUAUGAGUCGGGUGUAUCAUGUUUACAAAUACUCAGACAUCAGAAGUGUGAAAGAUAUAUUAACAAGGCUCAAAGAGAAACCGUUUUGGCAUAAACACUGAAAGUUGGAAUCAUAUUUUCAAAUACUCCUGAAAAAGACAUCAGAAGUCUAAAGUAUUUAUUACUAGUCUGAAGGAGAACCCUUUUGGCAUAAACAUUGAAGUUUUGAACUUUUUUCUGCUCUUAGUUUUGGUAAAUACUUAGUGAAAUCUUAAGUAGUUAUUACUAGUCUUUUCGUACCUAGAUUAAAGUUUUUUUGAAGGGAGGUCGCCUAGUGCCGGGGGUAUAUAUCUCACAGUUUUAGACUGGUGAUAUCAGCUGGCAUCUGAUAGCCACUGAUGUUAUUUGACAGUGAAUCUUAGUAGUUGUGAUUUUUCUCUCGGAUCAGAAGACAAUAUUCUAGAACACUUACUCCAGCCCCUCCAUGCCCAAUACUGGUCGCAGGAACCAGCUAGCUAGCAUGAGGAUUUGGUGGUAGCUGUGUGUGAUAUAGAUGUGUCUCGUCUCAUCAGACGUCCUGGAUUGUUCUUCCUGCUAUCUACCACUGCUUUGUCUGGUUCUCAUAGUUACCGGUUCCUGUCACUCUCUUCUUGCUUACCUAACCUUCAAGGCUGCAGAUCAAAGAUUGGAUCUCUGGUAAAGAUCUUAAUUCCUCAAGUUUGGAGUUGCUGGUAUUCCAUCAGACAUUAAUCAACUUUUCAGCCGAAUUUCAGUUCAAGUUGAUAAAAACAGCUGUAUUUGUCAUAGUUCUGCUGUGAAACUGAAACGCAUCACUGUGAUAAUAUUAUCGAAAUAAUUGAGUAAAGGAGCCAAUUCUCAACCUUAUCACCACCUUCAUGAAUCAUUGCACAGAGGAUCCACUUUGAGGAUAUUAACAUUUUCACAAUGUUUUAAACUUGGAAUGGAUUGGGUAUGUCUCAAAACUUAAGGAAUUAUUUUUGUAUCCGGCUUUGAAUUUUUUGAGCUGCUCUCUAUGUAAUGCUUUGUCUCUCCUGCUGCUUCCUCAAGGAUGUGAAUUAACAAGAUGGGUGUUGAGAGAC